rnacentral:rRNA from 1 species
CCUACGGGAGGCAGCAGUGGGGGAUAUUGCACAAUGGGGGAAACCCUGAUGCAGCGACGCCGCGUGGGCGAAGAAGUAUUUCGGUAUGUAAAGCUCUAUCAGCAGGGAAGAAGAAAUGACGGUACCUGAGUAAGAAGCACCGGCUAAAUACGUGCCAGCAGCCGCGGUAAUACGUAUGGUGCAAGCGUUAUCCGGAUUUACUGGGUGUAAAGGGAGCGCAGGCGGCACGGCAAGCCUGAUGUGAAAGCCCGCGGCCCAACCGCGGGACUGCAUUGGGAACUACCGGGCUGGAGUGCCGGUGAGGUAGGCGGAAUUCCUAGUGUAGCGGUGAAAUGCGUAGAUAUUAGGAAGAACACCAGUGGCGAAGGCAGCCUACUGGACGGUGACUGACGCUGAGGCUCGAAAGCGUGGGGAGCAAACAGGAUUAGAUACCCCAGUAGUC